GAUGAACGCUAGCGACAGGCUUAACACAUGCAAGGUCGAGGGGCAGCAUGAUUUGUAGCAAUACAGAUUGAUGGCGACCGGCGCACGGGUGAGUAACGCGUAUGCAACUUACCUAUCAGAGGGGGAUAGCCCGGCGAAAGUCGGGACUUAAUACCCCAGUAAAACCAGGGGUCCCGCAAUGGGAAUAUUUGUUAAAGAUUCAUCGCUGAUAGAUAGGCAUGCGUUCCAUUAGGCAGUUGGCGGGUAACGCCCA
rnacentral:rRNA from 1 species